UUGAAGAGUUUGAUCAUGGCUCAGAUUGAACGCUGGCGGCAGGCCUAACACAUGCAAGUCGAACGGUAACAGGAAGCAGCUUGCUGCUUUGCUGACGAGUGGCGGACGGGUGAGUAAUGUCUGGGAAACUGCCUGAUGGAGGGGGAUAACUACUGGAAACGGUGGCUAAUACCGCAUAACGUCGCAAGACCAAAGAGGGGGACCUUCGGGCCUCUUGCCAUCAGAUGUGCCCAGAUGGGAUUAGCUUGUUGGUGAGGUAACGGCUCACCAAGGCGACGAUCCCUAGCUGGUCUGAGAGGAUGACCAGCCACACUGGAACUGAGACACGGUCCAGACUCCUACGGGAGGCAGCAGUGGGGAAUAUUGCACAAUGGGCGCAAGCCUGAUGCAGCCAUGCCGCGUGUAUGAAGAAGGCCUUCGGGUUGUAAAGUACUUUCAGCGGGGAGGAAGGUGUUGUGGUUAAUAACC
rnacentral:rRNA from 1 species